UACGGAGGGUGCAAGCGUUAUCCGGAUUCACUGGGUUUAAAGGGUGCGUAGGAGGGCAGGUAAGUCAGUGGUGAAAUCUCCGGGCUUAACUCGGAAACUGCCGUUGAUACUAUCUGUCUUGAAUACCGUGGAGGUGAGUGGAAUAUGUCAUGUAGCGGUGAAAUGCUUAGAUAUGACAUAGAACACCGAUUGCGAAGGCAGCUCACUACACGAAUAUUGACUCUGAGGCACGAAAGCGUGGGGAUCAAACAGGAUUAGAAACCCUAGUAGU
rnacentral:rRNA from 1 species